AGUCACUUUCAGCAAUCUGUGAUUGUCUGUCAGAGGAUCAGUGUUUCAUUGAGUCAGUGACUUUUGUGGGCAGUUCAUGGGAAAUGCAGACAUAAAUGUCCGGGUUGUUUUUAUUUUCUCUAGCAACUCUGAUGAGCUAUUCUGGGGCAGGUUGGUUUGUCCAUCAGAGAUGAGAACUGCAGUCCUUGGGGAUUUUGUAAGGGGCAAUAUAAAGAGGAGAAAAAUGACAACAGACUGCUUCACUUCUAAUGACAUCAAAUGGUUUGAAUCUGACAUUGAUGGGGAACUUGGAGAAAUCACCAUCAAUUCCUCAAUUCUUUUCUCACUGCCCUCGCUCUGGAGGAAGCUAUCACCCAGGCAUGGUGCAGCAAAUUCUUCACCUCUAUCUGUAGUCCUGGAAUAUUGUCUGACAUGCACAAGAAAAAUAUAAGACUGUGCUCUCUUGGUAUCUGUGGUGGUUUGAUGCUGGCUGGCCUCCAGGUGCUCACCAAAGUUGCUCCAUCAGCCCUCCUCAGCUGGACAGGAUACAAAAAAUACAGCAAAAAUCUUGUGGGUCAAGAUAAGGAGGAGAGGAUCACUCUCCAAGUACAGUUAGAGGAAAAAGAGAUUCAACUUCAGAAAAAUUCAUUUAAUUUGCUACCAAUGAAAUCAAAGCAGGAUAUUGAAAAGUAAACCCAAAUCCUAAAAUAUCUUUCUCACACUCCUCCCUUCCUCCUGGGCUUAAUUUCAUUCCUCAUUUUCUCUCCCUCCUGCCUUGCAGUGGUACAGGUGAACAGGGAAUGGGGCCCGAGAUCUCUCCAUCACACUUGUCUGUGCUGUUCCUCCCGCCUCAGAGGGAGGAUCCUCACACUCUUCUGCUCCACUGUGGGGUCCCUCCCACAGGAGACAGUCUCCAUGAACUUCUCCAACACGAGUCCUUCCCACAGGCAACGCUUCUUCAUGAACUGCUCCAGUGUGGCUUCCCAUGGGUGACAAGUCCUGCCAACAAAGCUGCUCCAGCAUGGGCUCCUCUCCAUGGGGCCACAGGUCCUGCCAGGAGGCUGCUCCACUGUGGGCUUCCCAUGGGGUCACAGCCUCCUUCAGGCAUCCACCUCCUCCAGCAAGGGAUCCUCCAUGGGCUGCAAGUGGAUAAUUGAUCUAUCUUAAACCUCCAUGAUCUUCAUCCUGGGCUGAAAGGGAAUCUCUGCUCUGGUGUCUGUAGCACUUCCUCCCCAUCCUUUUCCACCAACCUUGGUGUCUGCAGGGCUAUUUCUCUCACAUAUUCUCACUCCUCUCUCCUGGCUGCAGUUACACAGCUUCCACCCCCUUCUUAAAUGCAUUAUCCCAGAGGUGUUACUAACUUUGCUGUUGGUACACUUGGACUUGGCCUGUGGUGGGUUUGUCUUGCAGCUGCCCAGCCUUGGCCCUGUCAGACACAGAGGAAGCUUCUGACAGAAGCGCCCCCCUACCAAAACCUUGCCAUGCAGACGCAAUACAGCAUCAGAGCAUGAAAUCAUCUGAAAUGGAAACAAAAAAAAAAAGAAGCAUGCUUCUCAUUGACUAGAGUCAGUUGACUUUAGUCCACUCUAAUAUUUUUAGUUUGAUUUCCUUGGGAAGUGAAAUCUAGCUGAGAGUAUCUGUUUGUCCAUAUGUUCUUCCUCCAAAUAACUUUUCAGUGCAACCAAUUUCAACCACAUUUAAAAGAGGGCAGAAGGCUAAAAAGUAACUUAUUCUUGUAUGUCUCUUAAAAACUGGUGAUUAGGUAAUGCUCCAAUCCCUACAUGCUGGAAAAACCCAAGAAUUAUGUAGGUGGUACAUGGCAGUAGCCAACCAGGCUAAGGCAAGUGGUGUCUUGCAUUUUGUCUUUCAUUUUGGUCCACUAGGAAGCAAGACUAGCCAUAGCAUGUAUUUGUUCCUCCUACAGGAGAUGUCACAGGGGAUAUGUGAUGGGUUCUGACUUUUAUUACAGCAGGGGAAUUUUUGAGACAGCAGACAGGAACCCAUGGGGAGGCAGGCUUGGUGUACUCUGUUCACAGAACAAUUUGCUCUAUAGCAGCCCAGUAAGAAACACUUCUGGAGCGGCAUCACUUAUCAUUUAGUGAUGAGAAUCCUACAGACCUUUCCUACACUGGACACUCACAUUUGUUCACCCACACCCUCAAUGUGUAAAUUGAAAAUUAGCAUCCUUUAGUGUGGCACCCUCGUAGGCUGUCCGGUGACCCCAGUGAAGUGCACAAUGUGGCCUGAAGAGAGGCCACAGGGCUGCCUGGGCAGUCCAGCUGGGCUGUCACACCGUGUCCCAGGGAUGGGCCUCAGAAGUUGUGCACGCACACUGCCUCCACAUCCCCAGCUGUGAAAGGACACCCUUUGUGAAAUACCCGGAGAGUGACUGAUAAAAAGCCCUGAAUGUUAAGCAGGACUUCAUUACUGGUGUUCCUCUAACUGGAGGCAAUGAUUUUAGGGGGAAAUAGAGCUACAUAAGUCAAUUACUCCUUGAGAAAAAAAAAAGUUUGUGCUACAUAUGGCAGGAGAAAUCUGUAUUUGAAGAAAGGGUAGUGGGGAAAGCCUUGUGUGGGUAAAUGGUUGCCUUUCAAGCUGGAUUUCCAUUACAGAAGGAUUCUUUCUGGUCCCCCUGAAAUUGCAUAGAAGUCACAGGAGAUCCAGCGAAGAUUAAUGCAGACCGAUGCUUGCUAUUUUUUCCUGGAGGACUUGGCAGCUCUGUAAUUACAGCUGGUGCGUCUGAAUCUCCCUCUGGCCCCUGUGUACUGCCCGGCAGUGACACCAGCAUCAGAGAGACCCUUGCUUCAGAAUUUGUCAAGCAGAACUCUGCUGAGAAACCAAACCUGCUCUGCCGUGCCUCUUGUUGUGGCGAUGAGGAAUAUUCCUUUGCUGAGUAUCCUCCUCCCGUGCACUGGAGCUGGAACCUCAGGGACUCUUGAGCCCAGAAUGGCUCAUAGACUGUGAUCCAAGAGAUACAUUUGUAGAGGAAUGAGGGAACCAUAUUUCUAUAGCAUAAUGUAUAUAUUUUUAUAUAUAUAUAUAAAAAUGAAAUAAAUGAGCUGGCUUGCAACACUAGGUGGCAGAGGUGGGAUCUGUUCUGCUCUGAGCGCUGUCCUAUAAGGCAUUGCUUGUUUAAGUACAGUCGCAUUUAGUUGGAGCUGCAGGAGAGAGACAGAGAGAUUCUCUGUGUUUACAGCCAGCCCAGGCUACGGUGGAGCAUCCAACCUGGCCCCCCCUUUCCCCAGCACUUGAAGGGGAGAGUGAGAGGUUAUUUGGGAAGCUGGCCACCGCGGGUCAGCUUGCGCUGCGACUGGAUUGUCAGAUCUGGCAAAGCAGAGCCCAGAGGGACUGAAGGGAGACACGAAUCCCAUUUUCUUUGAGAGGAGCGAAGAGGGAGGAAAAAAAAAAAAAAAAAAAAGAA